CAAAGGUUUGGUCCUGGCCUUGUGGUCAAUUAUUACUUACUAUACACAUGCAAGUAUCCGCCCCCCUGUGAAAACGCCCUUCAACCCCCAUUAGGGACAAGGAGCCGGUAUCAGGCACAAAAAUCCGCCCAAGACACCUAGCUACGCCACACCCACAAGGGAAUUCAGCAGUGAUUAACAUUGAGCAUUAGCGCAAGCUUGACUCAGUUAAAGUAAACAGAGCCGGCUAAUCUGGUGCCAGCCGCCGCGGUUACACCACGUGGCUCAAAUUGACCCCCUCCGGCGUAAAGCGUGAUUAAAGUUUCCACUUACUAGAGUUAAACUAAAACUAAGCUGUGACACGCCUGUUAUCAAGAAACCCAAAAACGAAAGUUACUCUAACAUAACCAACUUGAACUCACGACAGCUGGG
rnacentral:rRNA from 1 species